AAUUAAAAUUUCAAAGUACAAGCAAAACGCAAUUGAUUCAUAAUUAAUAGAUCCGAUUAUGAUUUCAUAACUCUUAUUUAACACGAACAAUGUGCACAUUAAAGAAAGCGCAUCUCGAAACGAACUCGGUUUCUCCGACUUUGUAUGACUUGGAGUAAUGCGGAAAACUGCAAGGUGCGAAAACCGUGACGACGAUAAUCGAAUGAAUUGCGACAUGUACGGAGAACCUUAAACAGAAGCGGCCAUUACUGCCAGCCAAGUAUAAAAUGAUACCGAGAGAUUGAAUGAUGACCUGCGGUCGCAGCUGUGCAACGAGAAAGGAAUCAAGUGCAACUCUCAUGCAACAAAUUGUUUGAAAAUUAACGCUUGCGAAAGAUCGCCACGAGCUCACUGCUGAUCUAUAUAAUUACCUAUGGCUAAAUCGAAGGAAAGGGGAAACGAGGAAAGAAGAGUACAAGUGGGGCAAGUAGCAGGAAAGAGCGAAAGAGGAAGUCAGAAGUGAGGAAAGAGUGAGAGAGAAAGAAAAAAACCGUUACACCCCUCUUCCUCUGGUCACCGUUACGUUACGCGGUUGGAAUCCUGACACUGCGUGACCAAGUGAUGCCAGAAUGAAUGACGAAGGAAAGGAAUAUCCUGGUGCGUGCUUAUCUUCCUGCAGAUCUUCACUUUCAUCAGCGCGCUUUGCAAAGGACAAGGAAAACUUUUUUUUAAUUUAUCAAACUCUCAUAUGAGACUCGCUCUUCUUGGAUUGACAACUUUGAUAAUUCCAAAAAUCGUUAGUCUUUUUAAUUGACGGAAGUCACGGCAGUACCCGCGUAGAAAAUUACCGUCGAAAAAUUCCCGCCUUUCCUGUUCCUCGAACUUAACAUUGCUUCCUUGAAAGCAGAACUUCGCCAGACCGCAAACUGGUUUCUUCGCAGAAUGACGAAAAAGACAAUAAGGAUUCGAGUAGACUUAUGUGGUUUCUCUAGACUGGUCAAUUAUUCUUAAUUUAAUUAAUGUCGGAAUUUUGUCGGAAUUUUUAGAAA